ensembl:lncRNA
GAGCUAGGGAGGAAGAUGGGGAGCUAGUGAGCGGUUUCAGACACAGCGUUGAUUCUUUAUUUUAGUUUCAGUUUCGAUUUGCAGUCAACGCUAUUUGUAGUCAGUGGGCGGGGCCAGCGUCUGUAAGACAAAGAACCCGGAUGUAAUGCAGGAAGGAGAAGCCUGAUGCUGUGAAGGUAGAAAAAUAAAAAGAGCCAUACCGCUAUAAACUGAUUUUUCAACCACGAUUCAGUUAAAUGAAUAAAAAAUGUGAGGAUGGGAGUCCACACCAGCUUAUGUACCUCCACCAACUCCACCAGGUAUAAAAGUGGGAACUGGGGAAGCUGCUCUAACAGUCGACCCAGUCAGAAGCUACUGCACAGAGUAACCAGCUCGGGAUUCAAUGGAAUUUGACCUUUAAAUAAGGGAAGCCAGGAAUAACAACACAACCAGGUUUGUGUUAAAAAGAAGUGGUAUAUUGUAACACACAAAAUUAUAUACAUAUUACUGUACAAGGAACCAAACCAGGCGUAACUUCAGGGUGGGCCAAGGCCAAAAUAAUAGAAAACAAAGAAUUCUAUUGUUAGGUAGCAAUCUUACCUUAAAGGAAAAUAAAUAAAAUACAAGGAUACUUCCCUAACUACCUAAGCAAAAAAAAAAAAAAAAAAAAAAAAAAGACAAAAAGGACCCUCUCUCAAAAGAAAUGGCAGCCACACCCCUAUUUCCAGUGAACCAAGUGAACAUAUAUACAGUGGUGGAUAGAAUGAACAAAAAGGGUACAGGGACAACCAAACUCAAAGUCAAAAACCAGAACAGCAGUCAGAAUAUAGCAUAAAGCAUCACAAUCAAACACAAUCUCUA